GAAAGUUUGUUCCCAUAGCUGCUCUUAAACACUGGACUUGAUCACUCAAAAUGUGUUGUUUUACCUCAAAACAAUGGGUUAAACCCUUGUGCCAGCUGAACUGCUGACCUGAAGUUUGGGUUGCUGACCUGAAGGCUUCCAGUUCAAAUCCACGAGACAGGGUGAGCUCCUGUCUGUCAGUUCUAGCUUACAGUGACAUGAGAAGCCUCCUAGCUAACAUCCCACUGUUCCCUGGGUAAUGUCUCUGUAGACGGCCAAUUCUCUCACACCAGAAGCAACUUGUGGUAUGUUCUCAAGUCACUUCUGAAACAAUAAAAAAAACCUCAAAAUACUCUGAGAAACAAAGAAAAGAUGGCAAAUUCCCGCUGCGUGUGUACGUGUUCCUAGUGUAGUUAUACAGCAUUCAGGCGUUACAUGACACAUGUUAACAGAGUGACUAAUAUUAUACCCUGUUUCCCCAAAAAUAAGACAGUGUCUUAUAUUAAUUUUUUCUCCCAAAGAUGCGCUAGGUCUUAUUUUCAGGGGAUGUCUUAUUUUUCCAUGAAGAAUUCACAUUUAUUGUUGAAGGAAAAAAAAUGAACAUUUAUUAUAUACUGUACAGUAGUUAUCAUCACAAACCAGCAUAACUAGACGAACUGUGAAUCCUAUCAGUAAUUUCUUGUUACUACAAUUAUUUUCAUGUACAACAUUCUAUGGUACGACGUACAUUUAUCAAUCCUGCAUGCUCCUGUGUUCUGUUUGGUGGGAAUGCUUCCAAACAAAACCUUUGCUAGGUCUUACUUUCAGGGGAGGCCUUAUAUUUAGCAAUUCAGCAAAACCUCUACGAAGUCUUAUUUUCAAGGGAUGUCUUAUUUUCAGGGAAACAGGGCGUGUGUGUGUGUGUGUGUGUAUGUGUGUAUGUGUGUGUGUGUGUGUGUGUGUGUGUAUAUAUAUAUAUACACGCAACCUAUAAACCAGCUCUUUUGUUAGCAAAUGGAUCUUUAAAAGAAUACAGAAAACUAUCAAAAGAAGUUGCCAGAUGUAAUAAGUUACACAUGAGAAGAAAAGACUGAUCAAAGAAGAAGAAAUAGUAGAAAUGAAGAAUAAGAGUCCAAGAAAGAUUAAAAAUACUGGCCAAGUAGAGCAACAGCAGAGUCUUGGUAAGACAUUACUUUUGAAAAAGAAAAUAAGGUCAGAUGCAAGUAAAGGCAAUGUGCCAUUGAUAUUUGUUUGUAGUGAUUUUUUUAAAAAAAUCUUUGAGGUGGUGGUGGUAUGAAUAAUUAUAACAAGCAACAAACUAAACAAACAAAUGUACCUAAUGUAACAAAGGAAUGGACUGCCAAGGAACUUUCUGAGUUUAGAUAUAAUUCGCACUUCAUGUGUUAGAUAAAAUAUCUUUCACCCACUUUAAAUUCAGUGCUGUCUUUAAUAUCAAUUUAAUUGUUGUUGUUUUAAAUUGCUUUUUAAGAGGUGGAUCAAAGUUUAACUAUGUUCUUUUUUAUAAUUAAAUUGUAGGCCAACAUGAGUUGUGCAGGGGAUAAAGGCAGAAUAUGCUGACUCCCGGAACCUCAAGCCAUGGCUGAUACUAAAUGAGAGACUUCCUCCAGGGCAUACAGAAGACUGGGUGACUUGGAAGGUGCUGAACAGACUGAGCUCUGGCACCACGAGGUGCAGAGCCAACCUUCAGAAAUCGGGCCACAAAAUGGAUUCCAUGAUAUGCGAGUAUGGAGAAGAGCAAACCGCAGACCACCUAAUACAAUGCAGCCUGAGCCCUGCCACAUGCACAAUGGAGGACCUUGUUAUAGCAACACCAGAGACACUCCAAGUGGCCAGCUAUUGGUCAAAGGACAUUUAGUAUAAUGCCAAGUUUUAACUUUGUUUGUGUUUUUAAAUACAUUACAACUGUACCCUUGGUUCACUUCUGGCACAAUAAAUAAAAGCUGACUCCAACAUAUGGCAA